rnacentral:rRNA from 1 species
GGCUUUUGGGUUGUAAACCUCUUUUUUCAAGGAAGAAGAAAGUGACGGUACUUGAAGAAUCAGCAUCGGCUAACUCCGUGCCAGCAGCCGCGGUAAUACGGAGGAUGCAAGCGUUAUCCGGAAUCAUUGGGCGUAAAGCGUCCGCAGGUGGCUUAUCAAGUCUGCUGUCAAAGACUAGAGCUCAACUCUGGGCAGGCGGUGGAAACUGGUAGGCUAGAGUACGGUAGGGGUUGAGGGAAUUCCCAGUGUAGCGGUGAAAUGCGUAGAUAUUGGGAAGAACACCAGUGGCGAAGGCGCUCAACUGGGCCGUAACUGACACUCAGGGACGAAAGCUAGGGUAGCGAAAGGGAUUAGAUACCCCUGUAGUCA